CUCUGCGCAGACUCGUCCCGGCCAGUUGUCUGCUGGGUCUCGCAGGGGUCGGCUCGUAAACGGUUCCACGCCGGGCAGGUUGGACCACCUGCAGAUGCCGGCGCUAGAGAUGUUCAGUGCCCAGGAUUACAGAAGGAGAGCACCUAUAGCAGUUAUAGAAAAAGGAUUCUGCUCGGUUCUGCAUGGAUCACAAUCACUAUCCCGUGGAUAAGAAGAAUGAAACAGCUCUUUGGACAGGAAAAGUAGCAAAUAUCUACUAUGAGAGGCUGUAGGGGGAGAGAAUAACAGGCAGCAGGAACUACAUGUGCAAAGUCCUGUGGUGGCUGGCAGUGCAUCUGAGAACCAAAGACCUGUGUAGGUGGACAACAAGAAGCGUGCAGUAUGGCAUGAGAUGAACUUGGAAAGAUUAAGCCACACCACCGAACAUCUAGAAAGCUUUUUGGCUUUAUCCCAAGGGCAACAGAGACCUAUUAGGGGUUUAAUGGGGCUGGGUACUUGGGUGUGAGGAGGAAGAACCACCAUCACAUUGCAACUGCAUUAGAGAUUCCAGUCAGAACUGCUGAGCCCAGCCCCCUGAGAAUUCCUGAUGUAGAAACUGUGAGAGAUAAUGAAAUAAUUGUUGUUGUUUUAAGCCAGUAAAUAGGUUUUGCAGCAAUGGAUAACCAGAAUAGGAAGCAUCUAUCACUAUCGUGUCUUUGUAUCAAUUUUCUCUGCCACAUUCUCAUUUGUCAAUGGCUUCAAGCAAUUUCCCCCAUCACUUUUAUGUACUUUGUGGAACUCCUUCUACUUUUGUUGGAAGAGUUGGAAUUUUACUUUGUAAUAAAUUUUCAUUGUACAGUAUUUUUAUUUUAUUAUGCAAUGUUUGCAUCCCCCGAAGGACAAGAUGUUAACUAGAUAGGUGGGGAUACAUGUGAAUAUUAAGUGGGGAGGUUUUUGUAAGGGGACUAAUUAGAAGUUGAUAGGUGAAUAUUUUCACCUUUUGAUGAAUUUUCCCUAUCCAGACUCAUAACUUUGAAGAUUUAGAUAAUAAAUAUUUGAAAAAUGAGGACCCCAGUAAUGUUUAGAGCAGGACUGUUUCAUUGGUGAUAAAGGGUAAGGAAAUUUGAAUCACUUCAUUGUCAGUGCAAUGAUUGUAGAUUGCUUUGAAAGCUUCGUAAUUCACCAUGGCCUCUUCGUUAUUAAUGUUCUAGAAUCAUAGAGAUAAAAUACAUUCUGAAGAUCAUGACUUUUAUCCCUAUUUUGAACAUAAUCGGCCUUUUUUACCUUCCAUCUUGUUUUUCCUUCUCCACUUUCCUUUCACAAUAGUUAUUAGGCUCCUGUAUAUGCUAGCCAUUGAGGAUACAAAACUGAACAAAAAAGGCAUUGAAGUAAAGGCUAUGAAUGUGUGUUUUUCUUAUUUGCAGCAAACAUUUAUUGAGCAGUUACUAUGCAUUGCUAUUUUUUUCUACAUGCAGUUUUAAAAAUCUCUCACAAUGUAAAUUAGAGACCAAGGGAAAGCAAGAAGAGAGAAAGAAAAAGAUAUUUACAUGAAGAAAAUAGUCUGUUAACUUGUUUUAACCAUCGGUUUUGCUGUAUGAUCUGAGAAAUAUUAACAAAUUUACCUAAAUGAUCUUAAGAAAAUCUUCCAGUGUACACACAAAUUACAGGAGUAACAAAGAGAUAUACAUUUAUUAUAUUAUUUCUGGAAAGCUUUUAAGUAAUUGACUCAACUUUCUGUCUGAAUUACAGAAGACUCCCAAAGAAAAUGUGGGCAAGAUAUUCAGUUAUUUUUUUAACAGCAAAGGCCAUUUUGUGUAGACUUCUGAAUGCACCACUAGAUGGCAAUGUUUUGCAGCCUGUAGUGAUUAACAGAUCAAAACGUCUUAAAUUCAUACACCUUUAUUUUUAGACAAUAGAAAAAGAAGCUUCCUAGUUAGUUGAACAAGAGUCACAUGGCUUUUGGUCAUUCCUAGCCUGUGAACUAAAAGUCUAUAUCUGAAAAGAUGUCCACGAAAUAGGGUUAAAUUUUAAAGCAAUCUCAGAACAAUAUAUUUUCUCCCUCGCUGCCCCUCUCAUUUCCUUUCCUCCCACAAAUAUUUAUUGAGCACCAGCCCUGUGCCAACUGGAAAUAUGUGGUGAGCAAUGCAGCAAUGGUACAGCCUGCAUGGAUCUUGAAGUACCCUGUAGAUGGACUACAAGAUGGACAUUGGUUCCACUUUCAUGUUAUAAACAACAAUAACCACGAAGAACAUUUUUAUACAUGUGCUUGAGUUAAAGUUCUGCCUCAACCACUUUGGAGAGCAAUUUAACAACAUCUAGUAAAAUUGAGAAUGUGGAUACCCUAUAUGAUCCAGCAACCCCUCUUUAGGAUACAUACCCUAGAACAGUGGCUUUUGAACUUUUUGGUACCAGGUCACCAUUACACUCUUAAAAAUGACUGAGGACAACAGAGGGAUUUUGUUUAUAGUUAAAGUAGGGAGGAAGCAAGAGAAUUAAAAAUGUUAAUAAAGCCACAUUCAGCAGGGCGGUGGUUCUCAAACCAUGUGAUCAAAUGUUAAUAAAGCCACAUUCAGCAGGGCGGGGGUCUCAGCCAUGUGAUCAAAACUAUUUUCACAGUAAUACUAAAAUGUUAUUUGCCCUUAUGUUUACUCUCUCAUGAAUAUACAUUGGAGCUUUCAAGAGGCUACGUGAUGUUGACAUUGCAACAGAUCAACUGCAGAAGCAGAUAGGAGAAUCUGGAUGGUUUCUAUUAAGUCAGACAUUGAGGAGAUCUACAAAAAUCUAAUACAAUGUCACUUCUCACAAAUUUUUUUGCUUGGUAAAAUAUAAUUUUAAUAAAAAUUAUUUAUAUUAACAUAAUUUGUUUUAAAUGAACUAAUAUUUAAAAUCUUUGUAAUUUUUAAUUUCCAACAAGGUAAAUAUCAAAAGAUAUUGUCACUGUGAUGCAGGACGGCACAUUUCCCCAAGUGAGGGCAGAGACCAAGCCCUGUACGGAGAGAAGAGUCUUUUGUGGAGAGUGUGGAGAGAAUUCAACACACACGCCAAAGUUAGAGUCAGAAGGAAAGUUUAUUAGAAAAGGAAUAACACUCCACAGAGUAUGGUCUCCUCUCAGAGGCAGAGAGUGAGAGAGAGGUAAGAGCAAAGGCACUGAGAGGGGCCUAGAGGAACAGAGACAAUAGAGAUGAGGACAGUGAGAGAGACAGAGUAAAAGACACUGAAGGGAACCUUGAGUGUCCCGGGAAUUUAGUUUAUAUGCCAUUCUUCAGUUUCAGUGAGUUAUAGUUUAAAAGACUAUUAACCCAUCUCCUUUGACGUGGACCUAAAGUGAAGAAGGGGAAGGAGAAGAGUAUGUAGUAAAAAGGUAAGAAUAUGUAGAGUGAAAGACCUGCUGGCAGUUCCCAGCCUUUAAUCCAUAGGUUCCCCAUAGUUUUAGCCAUAGGGAAUGACUCUUGGUUCCUGGUUCUCCUUCACAGGUGUGGGCAAUGGGUCGUUAGCAAUCCAAGCAGAAAUCUUCCUUUGUUCUGAAGGUGUCCUCCUGGCCUGGCUGCAUGGCUGAUCAGCAUAUUGCAGUCUCUGAAUGUGGCUUUAUUAACAUUUUUAAUUCUCUUGCCUCCUCCCUACUUUAACUGUAAACAAAAUCCCUCUGUUGUCCUCAGUCAUUUUUAAGAGUGUAAUGGUGACCUGGUACCAAAAAGUUUAAAAGCCACUGUUUUAGGGUAUGUAUCCUGAAGAGGGGUUGCUGGAUCAUAUAGGGUAUCCACAUUCUCAAUUUUAUUAGAUGUUACGAAAUUGCUCUCCAGAGUGGCUAAAGCAGAAGUUAAACAAAAAUCUGUAUAUAGUUGGUUUUUUUAGGGAUAUCUCAAAUCGUAAAGAAUUGCGGAAUUAUUGUUAAACUUAUUGAUUCAAUAUCUUUUCUUAACAAUAGUGAGAAAUGCAGGGUAAUAUUUAUUUUUUAUGUAUUCAGAGGAAGUUUUUCUUGGUCACUGAAAACGGUGUUGUAGAGUGUCAACAUUAAAUGUAUCGGAAAAUUUAUUUUUGGCGCCUCAUGGGAGAUAGAGGUGUACAAAUUAUGCAAAUAUGCUUUUUUUUUUUACCAUCAGGGGAAUUUCAUUGUUCUCAAAUACUGCCUUCUGUAAUUUCUGUUAAAAUCUAAACCAUUUUCCACUGACACCCAAUUCAUAAAAAAAUGCUAAGGCAUCUAAUGUUAACAAAAAUUCAAAGGCUGUUAGUUUAUAGGUCAUCAAGUGACCAAGGUUAUUUGGUGUUGUUUUUUGAUUGUAGAAUAUUUGAAUUGUUCAAGUGUAGCUGAUAUAAAACUUUUACUGCAUUAAAUUUUGGAAAUAAGAUGUGGGUAAAUAUAAAAAACUGAGUUUUACAGGGCCAAGAUGCAAUGACAUUAAUUGGAUGUUUCUUUAAAAAAAUUUUUUAAAAUUAAUUUUAGGUAUACAGCACAAUGGUUAGGCAUUUAUAUAAUUUAUGAAGUGAUCCCCCUGAUUACUCUAGCACCCACCUAGCACACUAUACCGUUAUUACAAUAUUAUUGACUAUAUUACCUAUGUUCCAUAUCCCUAUGAUGUUUGGUAACUACUAAUUUGUACUUCUUCAUCCCUUCACCUUUUUUCACGCUGCCUCCCAUCACCCCCCCCCUCACCAGUUUGUUCUCUGUAUCUGUGAGUCUGUUUUCGUUUUGUUUCUUUUGUUCCUUAAAUUCUGCAUAUGAGUAAAAUCAUAUGCUAUUUUCUUACAAUGGUUUUGCAUGUAGUGAUUUGCACACCCUACUCUUGUAAAAUGAAAUGUGACCACAGUCAGCUAUUACCUGAUAUUUAUGGUGGAGGGCUUUGGACAACCAAAUAUAAAUCUUGAUGAGAUUUUAUGCUGCCACUCAGGGAAAUGAAUGGGAUAGGUUAGAAACCGAAGUACAGCACAAUUCAGGAGACAUAUCUGAGCAGUAGUAAUAUUGUUGAUGCAGCAUGCAUCACAGGAACAAAUGGAAAUUGUUUUUUUAUCUGUUGUUAGGGGAUUAUCUAGCUCCUGGUGGGGCUAGCUGAAGGAACUGUGUCUUCAAUAAAUUUUUUGUGCCAAUAACCAGACUCUCAGCAGGUCAUGGUCUCUAAAGUUAUAAACCCAGGAGCGAAUAUGUUUAAAUGUGGAAUUCUAUAUAGAUGGCCCUUUCAAAGGGAAGAUAAACCAAAAUUGCUGGUCUUAGCCUUUUGGAUUACUGACUUUAUUUGAACCACAUCAAGCAAUAAAGAACUUAGAAAUCA